UUAAAUAUAUAUUUAAUUUCAUAGAUAAAACAUAAGCGCUAUAUUAUUUGAUAAUUUUAUACCUUAAAAGCAAUAAUUCAACAGGUGCCACAAAACAAGAAAGAGCAACUGAUAAACUGAAGAGUAUAAUUACACGUGUGUCUGUUAUGGAUGCAUACAAUAAAACAUACAAAGAAACGGAUCUAAAGAAAAAGCAACACUUGCACGAUCUCCAUCGAGAAAUUAACUCGUGAUUACUGUUUAUGACAAAAAAAGUCCAUAGAAUUUCUUUCGGAAUGAUCGCUUGGAGUCCCCGGCUCUUGCCUAUCAAAGUUGUUAAACAGCAAAUGUCCCGAUCUCACGAUAUUAUCUUGCGGUAUUUUGGUGGAAAUUUUACAUACCGCGAUAUUUCGUGCAAUUUUAUUCCAUUUACUCUAAUUUUGCAUAAAUGCGCUGCGUUUAUGUAAAAUUAGACAUCUUUUGUCGGAAUGUACAGCGGAGAGAAGGAAAAUGUAAGGUAUAUUUUAUCGAUCGGCUAAAAGGAGGGGAUGAGCGAAUUCUUCAGUUUUUUCCGCGGUCAAACGCAUGCCGAUGCUUGCGAAGAGAUGACGUGCUUCGAUCUGCAUCAACACAUUGCCAUUAAUCGAAUUCUUUUGCUCUUGGUCGGCUUAUGGCCUUAUCAGCAAUCGAGUAUUGUGCAUCUUCAGAAAAUUCUGUUUUUCAGUAUUUUGUCGAGCUUUAUUUUAUUUCAGGUAAACAAAUUUUACUUUCAUUACAUUAUAUAAUAUACCAUUUGUAGCAUUAUUAUACACGUGACAGUAACUGACUUGCAUCUUGCAGAAGGGUGUGUCAUUUUCUCCUAUUACCGUUUUUUCGAUAAAUUUAUCGUUUGCAGCUCACAUCAUUCUUAACCGCGAAAUGUACACCUGACUUCAUCGUCAAAAUUUCCUGUUCUAUAUUACUUUUCGCAAUUUACUUGAUUUUAUAUAACACAUUCCACUUUAAUACUAAACAUAUGAUACAUUCAUUGGAUCAACUGCAACACGUUUGUAAUGAGCUGCAAGACGAGAACGAAAUAGCUAUCAUUGAACGAUACGCGUGCAUUGCUGAACGUAAAACAAUUAUACUUACAGUGUUUAGCAGUGUAUUUGUUAUUCUUGUCCAGCCAACGUGGCCACGCAUCUUCGAUACUUUUCUUUUAAU